rnacentral:ncRNA from 1 species
UACCGUCGCAUAAGCGGUCAUCUUAUGCACCUCCCUGUUGGACUGCCCGGGCUUGAAGCCCGGGCGUUUUU